UUGAUAUACUAUUGUAUACCUCUGCUGCAAUUCACUCAGCAACUUCUGUGUCACUUGACAGAAAGAAGAGUUUUAUCCUUUGCGUACAUGAUCCUGCACAGCUCCCACUUGUCCAGCAAAGUCUCAUACAUUUUGAUCAUAAUUGCUAAUGGAUUCUGUUGUUCUACACCUUCAACAAGAACUCCUUGAAAUGCCGCCUUUGUUUCUCUCCACAGAAAAGCUAGGGGGAUCUUAUCAAUGCCUAAAAGUACCGGAAGAAAUCUCAAAUAGAAAUGUAAAUCAAUCAUCCUUUUAUUCCAUCCAUCAUCCAUCCAUCCAUCCAUCCCACACCAACAGAAAAGGGAUAAAAUAAGUGUAUUCUGGAGGUGAAUAAGGAAAGGAGGCUAGCUCUACUACUUACUUCUUCCAACUUUAAAAUUAUAUAUGAUUUGACUUUUACAAUGAGGGUGAUUAUUUCUGCAAUAAAAUGUUGAUGUUAUUAAAAAUUGAGAAACUACAUUGACCAGCUUCUUGAUUGGUUCAUUUCACUAUGAU